UGAAAUCAAAAUGAGGAUGCUGUAACCUUUGCUUAAGCCGUUGCUGAUGUCUACCCUUCACCUUCGUUUCCCGCCUGGUACAUGUCGCUCAACUCUUCCUGUCCUCCAAUAAGAAUGAAUGUGGACGACAUUUUUAGAAGACUUCAAAGACGGGUUUGCUUCAACUGCCUUAAUUAGCUAUCUAAAGGUGAGUCACUCUCUCUUUUCCAACGCCAUUUCAUUUGGUUUUUAUGGUUUUACGGUCGUUUCCCAGUCUUUAUCAAUAACUCAAUUUCAUCUCCUUUUUUUUGCAAUUUUUCCCUUAUAUUGGUUCUCGUAACAGCUUUAAUUUGAAGAAAUUGAAGGAAUUAGAAGUUGUUCAUCUAUCGAUUCUAUAAGAUGUAUGGAUUGAGAUCUUGAUGUGGCUAGGUAGGAGCUUUUGUUGGUCCACCACAUGUUCGAUGAAAUGCUUAACAAAAAAUAUUGGGUUAAACCUGAUGACAAUGAAUCCAGUUUCAACUAUUAACUUAAGAUCUAUCCACAUGAUGGAAACUUGAAAGAGUCAAGUCAAGGGUUGUUGGUGACAAUCAAUUAUAUAAGGGCAUUACCGCAUCAUCAUUAUAAUGAAAGAGUGAAGCAGGUCGUACUAGACAGGUUUUGAAGAGGUUGCCAAUAAUGUGGAAUUUGAAGAAAACAUGGAGAACGAUAUUUGUAUUCUAACAGAAUGUAUUCUGUCAGAAUUUAUU